rnacentral:lncRNA from 1 species
UUUCAGGUUCAGCCUGAAAAAACAGGUUGGAGCAGUUGAAAGCAGACCCAGAGAUGCUACUUGAGGACAGGAUGAGGUAAUAAGCACGAUAUUGUUGUGUUUCAGAUCUACAUCACCAAUAGUACAAUCAUUUUGGAAACUGUCUCAACUGAGCUCUCUAACAUCUUUACCUCUUCGCACAAUCCCACUGGAAAUAGGCAAGAGAGACACUCAUAAACAACCACUGAAUAGGAAAAAGUGUGCUACUUCUGAAGCUUGCAUGACCUGGUGUUAA